CAAUAACCUCAACCAAACGUUUUCUGUAGUUGCGGAUCAGACAUGCACAACAGUGAAGAGGACUUUUUGACCAUUCCUCUUUACAAAACUGUUUCAGUAUUAUAUUCUUGGGAUGUCUGGAGUGAACCACUCUCUUGCGGUCAUGCCACAGCAUCUCAAUGUGGUUGAGGUCAGGACUGACUGGGCCACUCCAGAAGGUCAGGACUGACUGGGCCACUCCAGAAGGUCAGGACUGACUGGGCCACUCCAGAAGGUCAGGACUCUGACUGGGCCACUCCAGAAGGUCAGGGCUCUGACUGGGCCACUCCAGAAGGUCAGGACUGACUGGGCCACUUGUCUAUUAAAGUAUAUUUUGUUAAUAGACAAACACAGUCUGCUUAAACUAAUAACACGCAAACAAUUAGAAUUUGGAUGUUUUCAUUGAGCACACCGUGUAAACAUUCACAGUGCAGGUUGGGAAAAUGAUGUGAACCCUUGGAUUUAAUAACAAGUUGACCCUCCUUUGGCAGCAAUAACCUCAACCAAACGUUUUCUGUAGUUGCGGAUCAGACAUGCAAACAAGUGAAGAGGACUUUUUGACCAUUCCUCUUUACAAAAAUGUUUCAGUUUUACAAUAUUCUUGGGAUGUCUGGAGUGAACCACUCUCUUGCGGUCAUGCCACAGCAUCUCAAUGUGGUUGAGGUCAGGACUGACUGGGCCACUCCAGAAGGUCAGGACUGACUGGGCCACUCCAGAAGGUCAGGACUGACUGGGCCACUCCAGAAGGUCAGGACUGACUGGGCCACUCCAGAAGGUCAGGACUCUGACUGGGCCACUCCAGAAGGUCAGGACUCUGACUGGGCCACUCCAGAAGGUCAGGACUGACUGGGCCACUCCAGAAGGUCAGGACUCUGACUGGGCCACUCCAGAAGGUCAGGACUCUGACUGGGCCACUCCAGAAGGUCAGGACUCUGACUGGGCCACUCCAGAAGGUCAGGACUGACUGGGCCACUCCAGAAGGUCAGGACUGACUGGGCCACUCCAGAAGGUCAGGACUCUGACUGGUCCACCCCAGAAGGUCAGGACUCUGACUGGGCCACUCCAGAAGGUCAGGACUCUGACUGGGCCACUCCAGAAGGUCAGGACUCUGACUGGGCCACUCCAGAAGGUCAGGACUCUGACUGGACCACUCCAGAAGGUCAGGACUGACUGGGCCACUCCAGAAGGUCAGGACUCUGACUGGGCAACUCCAGAAGGUCAGGACUCUGACUGGGCCACUCCAGAAGGUCAGGACUGACUGGGCCACUCCAGAAGGUCAGGACUCUGACUGGGCCACUCCAGAAUGUCAGGACUCUGACUGGACCACUCCAGAAGGUCAGGACUGACUGGGCCACUCCAGAAGGUCAGGACUCUGACUGGGCCACUCCAGAAGGUCAGGACUCUGACUGGGCCACUCCAGAAUGUCAGGACUCUGACUGGACCACUCCAGAAGGUCAGGACUGACUGGGCCACUCCAGAAGGUCAGG
ensembl:lncRNA